ensembl:lncRNA
GGUAAUGCUGCUAGUGCAGGGGUCACACAGAUUACAUAUAUAUUACAUAGUUUAUAGUAUGGUAUCAUAACCAGGAAACUGACGUUAAUAAAAUCUAUUCAUCUUAUUCAGAUUUUACCAGUUCAGCACACACUCAUUCAUGUGCAUAUGUGUAAUUAGUCGUGCAGUUUCAUUGCAUGUGUAGAUUUGUGUGAUGACUACCUGUAGUCAAAAUAUAAAACAGUUCAAUCCAUGAAUCCCUUGUGUUAUCCUUUUAGAGCCACCAACACCUUCCUUCUUCACUUGAUCAUCCACUGUCUGGCAACUACUAAUCUGUUCUCCAUCACAAUAAUUUUGUCAUUUCAGAAUGCUUUGUAAACAGAAUCAUAAUCUUUUGGGAUUGGCUUCUUUAACUCAUCAAAAUUCCCUUGAGAUCCAUCCACAUCAUUGUGUAUACAUCAAUAGUUGCUCCUUUUAUUGUUCAGUAAUAUUUCUUGGUAUAGAUGUACUGCAACUUGUUUAACAGCUUACCUUUUGUUGGACAUUUGGGUUGUUUCCUGCUUUUAGGUAUUACAAGGAAAACUGCUAUAAACAUCCAUGUACAGUUUGUGUGUGUGCGUGUGUAAAUAUAAUUUUACAUUUAUUUAGGAUACAUGCCUAAGAGUGAAGUUGCUGAGUUGUAUGCUAAUCACAUAUUUAAUUUUUUUUUCUUUCCAGGGUCACACCCACAGCAUAUGGAAGUUCCCAGGUUAGGAGUUGAAUUGAAGCUAUAGCUGCCAGCCUACGCCACAGCCACAGCAACAUGGGCUCUGAGCCCUGUCUGCAACCUACACCACAGCUCACAGCAACGCCAGAUUCUUAACCCGCUGAGCGAGGCCAGGGAUUGAACCCACGUCCUCAUGGAUACUAGUUGGAUUUGUUUCCGCUGUGCCACAAUGGGAACUCCACAUGUUUAGUUUUAUAAGAAACUGGCAAACUGUUUUCCAGAGUGGCUUUAUCAUUUUUCAGUCUUACUAGCUAUGUAUGAGUGACUCAGGUUUUUCACAUCCUUACCGUCAUUUGGUGUUGUCACCCUUUAAUAUUUUAACUCUUCUGAUAGAUAAUAUAGGAUAUCUCAUUGUGUCUUCAAUUUUCAUUUCCUCAAUGGCUAAGGUGUUGAACAUCUUUUUAGGUGCUUAUUUGAUGUUUAUAGAUCUUCUUUGGAGAAAUAUCUAUUCAUGUUCUUUGCCAUUUUAAAAAUUGAAUUGUCUUUUUGUUGUAGAUUUGUAGGAGUUCUUUAUAUAUUCUGAAUACUAGACCUUUAUCAGAUAUGUGAUUGUGAAUAUUUUCUCCAAUUCUGUGGACUGUCUUUUCACUCUCUUGAUAGUGUCCUUUAAUGCACAUAAGUUAUAAAUUCUGACAAAGUGCAUUUUCCUAUUUUUUCUUUUGUCGAUUAUUCUUUUUGUGUCAUAUCUAAGAAACCAUUGCUUACUUCGUGGUCAUGAAGAUUAACCCCCAUGGUGUCUUCUAAGAGUUUUACAGUUUCAUUUAAAAAUCAUUUUAAUUUCUUAAUUUUUAUUUUUAUUUUUUUAAGCCAUACCUAUACUUCGUAUAAAUGACAUCAUAUGGUAUUUGUCUUUUUGUGACUAGUUUAGUUCAUUUAGUGUAAUGUCCUCCAGGUUCAUCUACGUUGUAGUAUAUGUCAGAAUUUCUUUCUUUUUUAAAGCUGAAUAAUAUUCUAUAUAUACCACAUUUUGUUUAUCCAUAUGUCAAUGGGCAGUUCAGUUGCUUCCACCUCUUGGCUAUAGUGAAUAACUCUGUUGUGAACAUGGGUGUACAAAUAUACCUUCGAGACCCGGUUUCCGGUGCUUUUGGGCAUAUAUGCAGAAGUGGAAUUGCUGGAUCAUAUGGUAUUCUCCUUUUAAAUUAAUUAACUAAUUAAUUAGUCCACACACCCACAGCAUGUGGAAGUUCCCUGGCCAGGGAUCUAACCCACACCACUGCAAUAAUCAGAGCCACUUCAGUGACAAUGCUAGAUCCUUAACCCACUGAGCCACAAGGGAACUUCAGUAAUUCUACUUUUAAUUCUUUUUAGGAAACACUGUAGUGACAAAAGUUUCUAUAGAACAGAGGUUCUAGUUUUUCCACAUCCUCAUCAACACUUGAGAGUUUCUGGGUUUUUGUUUUGUUUUGGUUUGUUUUUUGAUAAUAGCCAUCCUAAUGGGUGUGAAGUGAUAUUUCACUGUAGUUUUGAUUUGCAAUUUCCUAAUGAUUAGUGAUAUUGAACAUCUUUUCAUGUUCUUGUCAGCUAUCUGUAUAUCUUCUUUGGAGAAAUGUUUAUUCAAGUCCUUUUGGCAUUUUUAAAUCAGGUCUUUUGUUGUUGUUGAGUUGUAGGAGUUCUUUAUAUAUUCUGGAUCUUGAUCCUUUAUUGAAUAUGUGAUUUUCAAAUAUUUUCUCCCAUUUUGUAGGUUUCCUUUUUACUCUAUAGAUUUUAUCUUUUGGGCACACAGAAGUUUUCAAUUUUUAUGUGGUCCAGUUUUUUUUUUAAUUUAAAAUUUUUGCUUUUGCUGUCCUAGCCAAGAAAUCAUUGCUAAAUUCAACAACAAGAAGCUUCCCCCCUAUGAUUUCUUCUAAGAGUUUUAUAGAUUUAGCUCUUAUACUUAGGUUCUUUGGUCUACCAUAUGGUAUCUUUGAUAUGCUGAACCCUGUAUAUAUCACCUUUAAAAAUUCAAACAAGAAAACUAAUAAAUAAACAACUUUGAGGCUUUUAUUGGGUUGGAAUUAAACCCAUAGAGUUAUUUGGGGAGAAUUAACAGCUAAAUAUUCAAACUUCAAAUACAGGAAAUUACUAUAUAAAGUAAUUUAUUUGUAGGAUUUUUUUUUCUUUUUACUGAUGUAUCUAUGACACGUGAAAGUUGCUGGGCUAAGGGUCAAAUUGGAGCUGCAGCUCCUGGCCUGCCCCACAGCCACAGCAACUCGGGAUCCAUAAACCACUGAACAAGGCUGGGGAUUGAACAUGCAUCCUCACAGAUGCGGGUUCCUAACCUGCUAGGCCACAAUGGGAACUCCUAUUUGUACAAUUUUUAAUGUAGAUUCAUAUUUGAAAUUUUCCUUACAUGGGCAUUGCAUACUUCAUGUAUUAUUCCUGGGUAGAUUAUAUUUUAAUGCUACUCUAAACAUAAUGUUCCUAUUAUAUUUUUCACUUUAUUGUUGGCUUUGAAGAAAACUAGGUUAAAAAAUAUUUGUAGCAUGUAUUUCACUUUAAUGAAUUCUCUUUUAGUCCUAAUAGUUCUCAUCAUUUUCCGGUUAUUUCUCUAGAAUUGUCUAUGUGGGGGAAAACGGAUGCACUCAUCUCUGUUUCCAGAUGAUGUGUUUGUCUACAAGUAUAAUCCUAGAACAUCAGCUUAAAAUUAUUGGAGAGAUCAGGAAGGUGAUUAUCUCUUAAAAAAUGUGUAUACACACAUUGUUUUCCUUUAUAUCUAGAAAAUACAUUAGAAAAAUCCCCUUCAAUUAUAGGGAAAAUGCGUAAUAACCAAGAGUGAAAUAUUCCUCUUCUAAUGGAGGGAAUGUAAUACAGGAAAGAGUAAUUAUUUUAUCUUAUUUAUCUUACCUUCAUUGCAAAGUGUAGUUGAUGAGAACAUGGAUUUAACAGAAAGCUGACAUUUACGAACCACAUGGCUCUGGGCCAUUAACAACCAUUAUAAACCUCGGUUUCUGCAUCUGAGGAGUGUUAUUAUCGUCCCUACUUCAUGAGGCGGUUGUAAUAAUAAUCCAGGUGAAAUGCUUGAAACAAUACAGGUGAAAUGAUUAGUGCGGUGCAUGGUACAUAGCAAGUGUUAAAUAUACUGUCAUUAUUGUUACUUUAUAAUGCCAGACAUAUAGAACAAAGUUAUAAAGUUAUAGCAUGCAUUCCUUUAUUCUCUAUGGCACUAAGAAGGAUGUUAUUAGUGUUUCAGAAUUAAGCACAAUGCUUGCCAGGGAGCAUUUACUUUGAAUGAAGGUGUAGAUUAAGAGAUUCCUAGUUACACAUGUCCCUUUCAAGGCCCUGGACAACGUGUUCAUGUGAUCACAUAUUUUUUAUUCAAACAGUUUGCUAAGAUCACCACCAUUUCUUUCUAGGCUGGCUUCCCCUUCAUCUUAUUUCUGUUACUGUCAGUUGGCACUGGAGUUACUGUGGCCUAUCAGUUAUUUAUUGCUGUGUAAAAAAAAAAAAAAAAUCUCCCCUCAAAUUAAAAAAAAUCUCAUAUUAGUUCAAAAUUCUAUGGGUGAGUAAUUCUGACUGGCAUCUGCUGGAUGGUUCUGCUGAUCUUUCCUGGGCUCACUCCUGUGACUGCAGCCAGAUGGUGGGGUCGAAUCGGACUUGUAGCAGCCGGCCUACGCCACAGCAAGCCCAGAUAUGAGCUGCAUCUGUGACCUACACUACAGCUCAUGGCAACACCAGAUCCUUAACGCACUGAGUUAGGCCGGGGAUGAAACCCACAUCCUCAUGGACACUAGUUGGGUUCCUUACUGCUGAGCCACAACAGGAACUCCCAGGAUAUGGUCCUUUCAGUUUAUUUAUUAAAAGAUUUUUUUUUUGGCUGUGCCUGUGGCAUGUGGAAGUUCCCAGGCCAGCAGCCAAACCCACACCAUAGCAGUAACCCAAGCCACAGUAGUCAAUGCUGUAUCAUUAACCUACUGAACCACCAGGGAACUCCAUAUGGUCCUUUAUAAACAUUUAGCUUUUAAUUUUAUCAUGGGCAGGUUGGUAUGUGCAAUGACUAACAGACAUUUAUCUUAUAUGGGCCUGUUGAACUGUCAUUAGAUCUUUUCUUGGUUUAACAAUUGAGUUCUCUGAUUUAUUAAAACAUAAAUGUAUUUUUUUUCUGAAAUAGUGUGAUAUGAAAAGUUGUAUUCUCAAUAAUGUUUUUGUUUAGACAUAUUUAGGUAACUAAGAAUAAUUAAAUGCCCUGAUCUCCAAAUACCCUAUAGGCUUUUACCCAAUUAAAUGCUAAAGAUUGUAGUUUUUGACUAGAUUGAGAAAGAGAAAAAAAAAA